UUUUUUUUUUUUGGCUUUUGGUAUUUUUUUUUCUGUGUACAAUUUCUAUAUAGAUAAUAAAUCUCAGAUAACUGUUGAUGAACAGUUUUGUAAUAAUUUGGAUAAAAGAAUGAGGUAAUUCUACAGUGAGGAGAGUCAACAGAGGAAAUAUAUUCUAAUGGACCUGUUUCUAGCCUGACCUGAAUUUUUAUUCUGAUGUUACUUACUCAAUAUGGAACCUUGGACAAAUUAUUCCUCUUUUUUGGUCUCUAUUUCCUUAUUCUUAAUAUGAGAUUAGCCAGAUGAUUGCUAAGGUCUCUUUCUACUCUAAAAUUCUAUGACUCUAAAUAUAGAGCUCACCAAUAUCAUAUUACUUAAACAAAACAAAGUAGGAAGCAUUUUCUGUUAUCUUCCAAAGUAACUUCAGGGUAGUUAACUAAAGUGAAAAGAGCAUUGGUUAUCCUGCUUUCCCUAGGCCAUUGGCUAGAUUCCCUCAGUCCCCAGAACUAAACCUGACUCGUUAUCUUGUGCCACAAAGCACUUCUCUAUAACUGGAUAAAGGCAAUAAUAUUUAAAGCAAACAUUUUUUCGAGUGCUUAUUAUUUACCAGGAACUGGUAAAUAUACAUAUAAAGUCUAAGCACUUUAUAUGUAUCAACUUAUUAUCACAACCACCCUAUUACAUUGGUAUAAUUGUCAACAUGUAAACAGAGGAACAAAAAAAAAGUAACAUGCUUAAGGUUAUACAGCUACCAAAGGGAAUGACCAUGAUUUGAACUCAGCAAGUUUGGGUUCAGCCUCUUACUAAUGGAUGAAUCACCUUUCAGUUCUGUGGUCCCAGUGUAGUGGGGAAGGAAGGGUGCUAGUUCUGGUGCUAGUGAUGGCUAUGAUAGCUCUUCUUUUUUGUUCUCUAUGAAAAGAAAGCACGUGGCUGGGCAGGGUGGGAAAACCCGAUGUGAAUGAAAAUCUUCUAAGUAAGCCUUGACACUGACAGCUCCGUGAGUUUAUCAUCCUAACUGAGCCCUAUAAUCGCACAGCAUCUCAUGUCCACUUCCUCGAAAAUUGUGGGUAAGACUUAAUCCUGCUUCUGAAGCAGAAUCAGGCCUAAAUGUGUGGCUCACUAAUUUUCUUCUUUGUUAGAGAGCCCCCUGUUGCAUAAUUUGUGUAAUGAAAGUAUGUAUAGUUUUGCUAACCAAUUCUCCUGGAGCCACUAAAAUGUGUGAGUGUUUUUAGAAAUUAUAUGGGCAAUAUGCAUAAAAUACCAACCUCUGAUUCUCCUUUUGGAGUAUUCAAUCUUAGGGAGCCAUUUUCUAAGUAGGAAUCUAGAAGAGCAACUUCACACAGCAUUAAGUCGCUAAGUUCUCGGGUUUUUCAUUCUCAUGUAUAACUGCUGUUAGCUUAUUGAGAGAGCCUGGGCAAAUAGCUUAAACUUUUUGUUUCUUAAGAUCAUUUCCAAAAUGAAUACAGCAGACUCUCAUCAUAAAGACUUAGAUGCAAAGAUUUAGAUAUGGAAUCACCACAUACAAUACUUGAAAUGGAAAGAACUUUAAGAAUUAUUCAGGCUUAUGCCCUCAUUUUAAAGAUUAUGAAAUUGAAGACUGAGAAAGGUGCAAUAUGCUUUAGGUCACACAGUUCUUGGUAGCUUAAGCGGAAAUACAGCUUAGGCUCCUGAUUCUAGGAUCAGUGGUUUCUCUGGUAUAAGGUUUAAUUUUUCUAUUAAAGACUACAUUUUAGGCUUCUUAAAAAAGUUCUAACAAAAACUAGUAUGUACAAAAUGACAGUUUAUAGAAGCUUCCCAUUCAAGCCUCACAACCACUCAGUAAGACAGUUACUUAUUAUUAUCAACAUUCACUAUAUGCCUAAUUUAUAGCUGCAUAAGCAGAAGCUCAGGCUGCUGAGGAAGUGGCCUAAGGUUGCAUUAGCAUUCUAGUUCUGAUCUUUGAAAUUUGAAAUUCAUUUUCUUCUUCGGACCUUUACUUCACCCUGCCCUCUUUAAAUUUGUUUCAGGUAAGAUCAAAUGAAUUAUAAAAUCUUCAAAAAAGUGACUAUUAAUGCUUUCCCCAAAAUGUCCCCAAUUAGUUAAACAUUUCUUCACUGGCCACUUCCCCAGAUCCUGUUCAUCUGACAUCUAUUUUCAAAUAAAACAGUAUUCUUUAGAACAGUAGGAAUUUCUCACACUGGUUUACUGCAUAGGAUAAGAGAGUCAUAAUUAUUUUUGUAACCAUAGAAGCAUCAUCAAAAUACAGAAUUAUUUGUAAUGCUAAUGAGAAUUUUCUUCACCAGGUAGUGCUGUUUGCAAAACAUCUGGUGUACCAUGCCAAAAAUACAUAGCAGCUGAAAGGCAGGAUGCAAACUUUGCCUCAGGAUCUUCUCCACCAGUAUGUUUCUGGGAAGAUGUGUAAAGAGAACAAUUUUUCAAGAGGAGAUACUGAGAGGCUCUUGAAGUGCAUUCCCUGGUACCGUUCUGACAGAGCAUCAAUGUCACUAAGACUUGGCAGCAGGGAGCAGGACUCGACUGUGUGACUUCCAAGAAACACAGAGAGAACCACUUACUGCAGCCACCAGCAGAGAAGUAGGUAUGGAGGACACAGCCUCUUCUCAUGCCUGCUGGCAUCUGAAACAAUAUCCCUCUUGAUUUUGUGUUUGCUUAGAUCAGAGUGCAGACUCCAGGCACUAAGGUAACCUGCCACUGAGAAUGUCUUAGAACUUCAACUGUGCUUUGCCAACCAAAACCAAAGGAUGUGAAUAUUGUGUAGCAAGUUGUGUCAGGUAGAAAAUGCUUUUCUUAUUCAAGCCCUUCAAGAUCUUUCUCAAUUGCAAGUUUCUUGUGGUCUCCUAACAGGAUUCCCCUCUGCCACCCAAGUCUGAAUGUCAAAAGCACUUUCUGGUUUUGCCAUAGGAAAGGCAGUUUUCUACCUUGCAUUAUAUUGAUUUGUGUCCAUCUCCUCUACUUGACUAUGAUUUCCUAGAAGGCAGGGAGUCUAACUUCCUCCUUUUAGAAACAUUCAGUUUAAUUAAAGGUGUGUUAGAGGGACGAGUCAAGAGAGGAAGAAGGGAAGGGGGAAACAGUUCACAUGUAUGAAAAUAAGAGAAAUAAAUUACUAUGUCCGAAAGCAGCCACUCUAAUAAUGAUGUUGAUUUUUAUACUCCUGGCUUGUCAAACAGAUAAUUCAGAGAAGUUUCCAUUUGAAAAAUUAAAUAGAGUAUCUGGGUCUUAAAAAAUAAAAAAGAAAAAACACUGCUUGGGAUGUUAUUAAUAUAUAAGUGAUCUAAAACUUGACAGUGACUCUUCUCUUGGAUUCUCACAAUUGGGCGAUGCUUCAGAAGAUGGUAGAAGGAAGUCCAAAUCUGGGCAUAAUCCCAUACUUCCCGAGACUGGAGACAAUGUCAGAUUUUGAAACAGUAAAAUAUGAGAAAAAAACUAUAUAUUUUACAAACUAACAGAAGGAAGGAGGGAUUUUAUGAAUCAAUUAUUCCAGCACCUUAACUUUAGAUGAAGGAUAUGAGGUUGUUCCUUCAAGUAUUUCAUAUGCUUUGAAAGCUCUGUAAGUCUGCACAUGGUAAUCCUUCUGUCUAGAAUUACUUCUCCUGUGUUUGACCCAACUCCAUUGCCGUCUUUUCCUUGAAACCUUCUCUCAUUCCUCCAGUCAGUUUAUUCAUCCUUCUUAAAGACCCGUGGAUCACUUUUAUGUACUUUUAUUUAUACACUGAUAUAUGUUGGCUUUCUCAAUUAGAUCAUGAAUUUAUUCUGGGCAAAAACUAUGUUUACCCUACUCACCCCAAACACCUAGCACAAUGCCUCAAAAAAAAAAAAAAGAGUACUUCACAAAUUAAUAUUGAGUUGAAAUAUCUAAGUUCACCGGAAGAGAUGAGGGAAGAGGACAGCAUCAACUUACCUCUUCAUGAAGCUUAAGACCUCUGCUCUUGUUUAUAACAGCCAUCACAGAUUAAUAAUUUUAAACUGUAAAGCACACUGGCACCACUUAAAGACUGCCUUGUGAAGGAUCACUCAGAGAACAAGCUAUAUUUUGAUGGAAUGGAAGGAGGAGCUUGUCUUCUACACUACAGUAUUUUGGAAAAAGAAGUGGACUGAGAAAAAUGCAGUCCUUUCUUUCUUUUCCUAACUCUCCCCCUUUUUUCUCUUCUUUCUCCUUGUCUUCCUUUAUAUGCUCCUCCAGUUUCUCCUUUGCAUAAAGUAUUGAUAGUCAUUAUCUUAAAAAUAUUACAAAAUCUCUCUGCUUUCUACAUGCAUUACUCCUUCUCUAGAACUGUGUGCCUGUACUUUACCCAAAAGGCCAAGUGUACUUCGUGACGACUGCCAUGAAAAAUAAGAAAAAAGAAAAUCUGGUUAGAUAUUGAUGCAUUUUUGUUUAAACCACAAUGUAUGUUACUUUUCAUGAGGGUUGGAUUACAUAUUGGUGUUUGUUUGUCUUUGCAAAUGAGGUCAAGUGGAUAAUAAUAUUUUUGAAUUUGAGAAGAUAUCUUUUAAUGCCAUUCUGAAAAAAAAAAUGCAGCUAGUGUAUUUUGCUAGAAAAGACUAUCAAGGAAGAAAAUGAGGUAAAAGGCCCUUAAGAUAUGUUUUGCAACAAACAAACAAAUAUACUUCUGUAUAGAUAGACCAGAUGCUUUCUUCAAAGCCACAUAGAGUAGAUUUUCAAUGGUAAUAAAAUGAUUGUCUCUGUUGCCACUAUUCUAUUUUAGUUAAAUAGCAUUAGCAAUUUUAAGAUAAGCUCAUUUUGGAAGUAUUAUAAUUACCUUAAGAAUUUGGCCUUCUCUUUGCUUGCAUAUGUUCAUAGCAGCAUAUUCACAAUAGCCAGAAAGUGGAAGCAACUCAAAUGUCCAUUGAUGGAUAAAUCAAUAAACCAAAUGUGUGUGGUAUGUACAAACAAUGGAACAUUAUUCAGCCUUAAAAAAAAAAGAGGGGAGAGAAUUCUGUCACCAUGGAUGAACUUGAGGGCAUUAUGCCACAUGAAAUAAACCAGCCACAAAAAGGCAAAUGCUCUAUUAUUCUUCCUGUAUGAGGCAUUUAAAGCAUCAGAUCCACAGCAGAAUAAAGUAGGGUGGUGGUUUCCAGGAGCUGGAUAAGGGAAAAAUGGGGAGUUGUUGUUCAGUGGGUAGAGUUUCAGUUCUGCAAGAUGAAAAAGUUUUGGAGAUCCAUUGCACAACAGGGUACUUAAUACUACUAAACUGUACACUAAAAAUAGUGAAGAUGGUAAAGUUCAUCUGUGUUAUCUCAAUUAAAAAUAAAAAACUGGAUCUUCUUUGAAACAAAAUGCCUGCAAUUAUUUCAACCUCAUCCCUGCCAUUUAGUUUUUGAUUCCCACUCUCUAAAUAGUUACUACACAAUGUACAAAUAUUUCUCAAAGUAAUAAGCAAGUUGGCUAGAAGACAUUCAAUUCAUUUAUUGGGGUCCUAUUAUGCAUAAAGUAAUGAGUUUGGCCCUGAGAUGAAAGGGGGAAUGAGGGAAGGCAUUUCACCACCAUCAAGAGGGUAGUGCUGGAUAGGUCUUAGUGAGCACAGGUAGGGAAGGACAUACUCCUAUUGAUACUGAAUACAGCAGCCUGCUUCUGUACUAUAACCAGUAUAUUAGGAGCAUAAUUGUUAUCUGAAUUUCUCGACCUUUGAGUUUUUCAAACAAUUGGGUCUAUGCUCAAUAUCAACAAUUUUUAAAUUCCACUGAACUCUUCUCUAUUUCAAGAGAUACCUGAGGUUUCAUGUUAACCUCAAGUCACAAUGGAGUCCACCCACUUCCCCCAAGCACCAGAUAUUAUUUUGAAGAUAUCUUGUAAGCCAAGGAAUGAAGGAACAGAUGAUAUGAGUUAUCUUGAGAACUCCAACAUAAAUGAGAUCUGAAUGGCGACAUUACUUGGAUCAUUCUAACAAAGGCAAAAACGGCCUUUACCACCCACAGUGAAUCUCAGAGAUAAGCUCGCCCUACUUACACAGGAGCUGGGUUCUGAAAAGAGAAACUUCAGUGGUGCCUGUAAGCAGUUGUAGGUGAAACCUUUCAAUUUACAGUUUGUAUCAGGUUGAUUUUCUUGGAAAUCAAAAUAGAAAGGAGCUGAUUAGAUCCUAGCUAAAGGGGAGAAACAAAAUAGCUGGAGUCCCUGAUGGUAAAGCUGUAUUAAAAAGAAAACGUGUGAAGGAGAAUUUAAAAAGCAUAUAGCACUUUAUUCUUGUAUUUCUAUUGCCAAUGUGACUAGAAAACUAAAGAAAACCAAGAGACUCCUUUUAUACUGUGAUUCUACUUCCUGUAAUGAAAAAUGACAGGGAGAAAUGGAAAAUCAGUUCAAAAUUCAAAACCGGCUCAACGGAAAACAAUUCUGAUAGAAUCACAGAAUCCUGGGGUUGGAAGGUCAAGUUGCCCAACUCAAGUACCAAGUGUUUCUCCAAUGAUGACUUGUAUUAUCAUAAAGUGUAAAAUAGACUUGUAUCUAGACUUCGACUUACAUAAGCCUUCUAUUAUCUAGAAAUGUUUUUGAAAUACUAAACUCAGCAUGUCAAAUCAGCCUAACUUGUCCCAUUGCUUAUCAAAUAACAGCUGGGAUAACAGCAUUAACCUUCACCAGGUCAUUAAACAGGAAAAACAGGGCAUCCUCUCUGAUAUAGCCUCUCCUUCAUGUACCCUAACCACAGCACACAUGUAUCAAUACACAUGUAUAUUAUGCUAUUUCCACAUGUCUUUUUGUCGUCUUUUUUCUAUUCCCACUGGUAACCCUUUAUCUAGGCAUUCCAUCCCCUCUCACCUGGGCAGCACCACAUACGUCAGGUCUGCUUACCUGUGGCACCUCCCUCUUAAUUCCCAUUCUUCAAGGGACUUAUUUCAACAACCGUCUUUCAAUGUUUACUGACACCAGUUAUGUACCAGGAGCUGUCCUAAGUGCUAACAAAGACAUGAAAAUGAAUGAUGACUUUUGCCUUUAAGUAGCUGAGAGUCUAAUAGAGGUAACGGAACCUAAUAAAUAAUUGUACCACAGGGCACAUUUGAACCAAAUGCAAUCCUGUUCAAAGUGUUGUGGGAGUAUUGAUUCAUAUGAAGCAAGGAAUGACAGUAAAGCCAGACCUUAAAGAAUAAGAGACAUUAUAAAAAUACAACUUAAAAUGAGCUUUUCUCUUCCCAUGUUUUCAAAACGUAAGACCAUAACUGGCUAGGCACAUUGGGGUAGGUAUGGUACGUGAGAGG